AUUCUCCCGACUUCUCCUUGAAAGUGUUCAUUUUACGAUUUCCCGCACCUACGUAGUAUCGUACACACGAAUAGUAUGUUCGCGACGCGUAAACAAACUUAAUUCGCCUCAUUUUCGCCGCGACCUCGCGGUUGUUCCAGUUUUUUUAUAUUUAUUAUAAUAUUUAAAUUUUCUAUUGAAUAUACACGCGCCAGGUGUACGAACGGAAAAACGGUUCGAUCUCGGGGUUUUUUUUUUUUUUUUUAAUUGCGCAUACCCGUUACGUAUAAAUUAUAAAAAAAAAAAAAAAAAAAAAUUAGAGUUAUCGUGAUAAAACCGUUUAUUUUCGCGUAUGUACAAAAUAAAAUAAAAACCAACAAUAAUUUAUACGGGCCUCGUUUAACAACGGGCAAUUGGAUCCGAAUCGCGCAGGAAAGUGCGGUUGACUCCGCGCGUUCGGGCUGUACGAUAUAUUAUACGUAUAUGCGUAGGUACCGCGUUCAAAAAUUAAAAAAAAAAAAAAAAAAAAAAAACGUAAACUAUAAUAUUAUUAUAUACGCGGUACACCGGCAGCGUAGGUGCGUAAUAGAAAGAAAAUGUAGAAACGGAAGCCACCCCUCCUGUUUUCGUGUGCAUACUA